rnacentral:lncRNA from 1 species
GACAGAUUGCGAAUUAUUCGCUCGUUCGUGUUUGUUGUCUACUUUUUUUGCUCGCGCUUCGGUGUUUACGGUGUUUACGAUAUAAUCAUCGGUCUGACCUUCCAGCUGGCUUCAGGAUGUGAUCGGAACUAAAACCACGACAAAACGGCACAGCAAGUGGGGCAAUAGAUUGCUGCUCGGUCGAAACGGAAGCGGUGACGAAACGCAUGACGGCAAGGCGACCAGUAUGCUCUAAAAUCAAGUUUGCCUUGGACGCAAGUCAGGACAGAAUACCAGAGGUCCUAAUGAAACCGAGUACGACACUACACUAUGACUCUUGGAGAAUACGUCGUUAUUAAUCCCUGAAGCAUGAGAUGCAUACUAAAAUCCAUUCUGACUGAAAUUACCGACUAUGGAAGAAAUAUGUAGUUAACAAAUAACGUCCUUUCAGGAUGCAGACAACCCGUGUUGUUAAUUAGUGUACAUUUGCUAGGAUGGAAGGAACAUACCAAUUAAGUAUUAACAUCGUACUAUGCUCACAGGGCUGAUAGCGAGUCACUUAUUAGUGACUUGGUAAAUUUUCGGACCUGGCCACUAAAAAGUCACUAGUAACUUUUUUCAUUAAAAAAAUGGUAACUAAAGUCACAAUUUUCGUGGUCUGAUAAUGAAUAAACGAUAAUCUGGAUCAGCUUCUUAAGCUUUUUGUUAUUCUAAUGCAAACAUUCUUUGCUAACUAUCUGCUAGAUUCAGGUGAAUGUUGCGCAGACAUUUUUGACAGAAUAUCUGGAAUUUAUUUGUUGGGUUUUGUUAAUAAGUUCUAGGUAUUUUUUGAAAGUUAAGUGUCAUCAUAAUUUCUGACCACCAUAAUGAGCUUAUUUAGUGGUAAUAUCUGAUGAAAUCAUUAGAGAAUAGCCCGAAGGGAUUUUGACCUACUUUUUGAAGGAAACUCAA